rnacentral:lncRNA from 1 species
UUGGAUUUUUCCAGCAUAUAUGAAUUAAGCUCGGAGGUAGCGAGGCAUCUGGUAGGUUUUGGUUGGAUCCGCUAGUGGAACAGUGGUUGUUGCCACCAGCUGAAAGGAGUUUUGGCGGUGAUGAAAAGGGUUGUUGAUGAUGGUGGCUCGUUUCAUCGGUGGGCAACAAAGAGAGAGAAAAAGAGGGUAUAGGGAGAGGGGAGGCCUCACCGACCAUAGUUGCACUGGUGGUGGAAAAGGUGGUGCCGACAUUGAUUCUAUUUAGAGAGAAUGGAAGGGAGAGAAGAGAGAGAAAGAAGGGGGAGGC